UGACGGUACCUGACUAAGAAGCACCGGCUAAAUACGUGCCAGCAGCCGCGGUAAUACGUAUGGUGCAAGCGUUAUCCGGAUUUACUGGGUGUAAAGGGCGUGUAGGCGGGACAUCAAGUCAGAUGUGAAAGGCAUGGGCUCAACCCGUGGACUGCAUUGGAAACUGUAUUUCUUGAGUGCCGGAGGGGUAAGCGGAAUUCCUGGUGUAGCGGUGAAAUGCGUAGAUAUCAGGAGGAACACCGGUGGCGAAGGCGGCUUACUGGACGGCAACUGACGUUGAGGCUCGAAGGCGUGGGGAGCAAACAGGAUUAGAUACCCUG
rnacentral:rRNA from 1 species